rnacentral:rRNA from 1 species
ACUACGGGUGGCAGCAGUGAGGAAUAUUGGUCAAUGGUCGGGAGACUGAACCAGCCAAGCCGCGUGAGGGAUGAAGGUACAGAGUAUCGUAAACCUCUUUUGUCAGGGAACAAAGGCGGGGACGCGUCCCCGGAUGAGUGUACCUGAAGAAAAAGCAUCCGCUAACUCCGUGCCGGCAGCCGCGGUAACACGGAGGAUGCGAGCGUUAUCCGGAUUUAUUGGGUUUAAAGGGUGCGCAGGCGGUCUGUUAAGUGACGGGUCAAAGGCCGGGGCGCAACCCCGGCCCGCCGUUGAAACUGGCAGUCUCGAGUUGGAGAGAAGUAUGCGGAAUGCGCGGUGUAGCGGUGAAAUGCAUAGAUAUCGCGCAGAACUCCGAUUGCGAAGGCAGCAUGCCGGCUCCACACUGACGCUGAGGCACGAAAGCGUGGGUAUCGAACAGGAUUAGAUACCCCAGUAGUC